GGAGUGGGUCCUACCCUCCUGACUGGCAGCCAGGGGAGAUCGGCUCUUCCUCAUCCUUCUCCCCCCCCCCCCCCACUUUGUGUUUAAUAUUUCUAAGUUUAUUUGAUUGAAAGACAUAGAUUGGAUGACUAUGUCUUUUGUGGCCAAAUUUGGUGUGAUUUGGUCCAGUGGUUUUGUUGUUUACUCCAUGGGAAAAACACACAUUACAUUUAUUUAUAUAGAUAAAUAGAUAGAUAGAUAUAGAUUAAACCCUUCCAGAGGGAAGUAACAUGUCUAAAAUUGUGUAGUAAUGCUUGUGUGUACAUAGAUACUUAAUGUUCAAUUUCUGUGUACUUCUAAGGAUGCUUUUUAUAAUAAACAUAAAUCCUUCAUAAUCCUGAAAAGAUGUAAAUAUUAAUACAGGUUGUCAUCUCUUUGAAUCAAUGCCCCAUUAUGGUUACAUUAUUUUAUCAUCACAUAUAAAAAGAAUGUAGUCACUUUCCUAUUUUAAUGUGAUAAAACAUCCUGCAUUUAGUGAAAUAUUAAAAUCAAGUCUUGAGUUCUCAGUGGGUGUCCUGCAUCCUUAUCCACAAAUCCAUGGGAGCAUAGCCCUUGACAGCAUCUUGCCUGGAUUAAAUGCUGUUUGUUUAUUUGUCCUCAAUGUUUAUCCAUAUGCACAAGUGCCUUGAUUUAUCACAGAUGUAGCAGAUCAGCAUGCCAGACUCCAAUUUCCAUUUUUGCAUUGAAAAUGUGUUUCUACUGUUUACAGAACUCUGACUUGUAAGGGAUUUUGUGCUUCAGACUUUGCAAAAACUGAAGAGAUGCAUGUUUGUGGGCCUUAGUGGUGCAUGUAUGAAAUUCCUCCUAUUCAGCUCAACAAUGGGCUCUUUCUCUUUGCUUAUUCCUGGAAGCAUGUUUUUCCCCCAUUUUUUCUUUGCUGUUCCCACUGUUCUUUUCCCUGGAUACCAUUCAAGAUCAAAUUAGGAGAACCAUGUGCCUUUUCUACAAAGUGUUUCCCUCAAAGAGGCAAAGCGAUUAUUCAGAAAAUCUAUUUAACAAAUGAAAAUGUUAAUUUUAUUUAUUCAUUUAUUUUCUUCCCCAGAACAGAAGCCACUAUGGACAUUUCUACAAUUAUUUUGAAAAUAGCUUUGGGAGCAUGGGUCAUAAAUUGAAUUAUUGAGAUGAUUUACAAACUUCAAAUUAUUCAUGUCCACUGAAUUCAACAGGAAAGCUAUUCAAGGACCACAAUGAAAUGCCAGAACAUAGGGUGGGGUUGUUUGGAGAUGCUUUGAGCCUUUUUGAAAUCUCCAGGUAGAGCGAGGAAGUCCUCUAGACCAGCUUCCAGCCAACAAAAAUCAGAAACAACCUUUAGCCCUCCAGCUGGCUUGGACUAAAACUUUCAUCAUCCUUGACCAUUGGUCAUGCAGCCUGGGGCUGAUGGAAGUUGUAGCCUGAUACAUCGGGAGAGCAACAGGUUGCUGACUCCAGAUGUAGACACUGGUAAGUUAGAUAGACCAAUCGCUUUUGUUGUUUCUGUCCAGUUCAAAGACAGCCUUUCAUUUACCGUCAGACGGUUCUUGAUUGCUUGUGACAACUUUACAAGCAAUCUAAUCUAAUGGUGAAAGCUUCUUUGAAAUCUGUUACAGUGUCAUUGAUUUUUGGCCCCUGCUUGCUUAAAGGUUUAAUUACUGGGAAGAAAGAAACUUAUAAUGCCUAGUUCCUUUGUGAUUGUAUCAGGGUGCAUCUACACUGUAGAAUUAAUGCAGAUUGGCAUCACUUACUAGCAGUUGUGAGAAACAAAAACUGGAGGUGGUAGCAGGAUGUGUGUGUGUGUGUGUGCAAAAAAAUUAUUUUCAGUCCUGAACUGGGUGCAUUCCAGAUCAAUGCUGUUGAAGGGGCAAAAAUGAAAAAAGUACUCCUUUUAAACCAAAGUCAAAAGCAGGAGCCCCCUUCCAGUGGAGAGGGCGAGGAAGGACACCACAAAAGUUGGAUCUUCUAACUGCAAAAAGUUGUUUAUUGCGUGGCCAUAGCAAUAACAACAAAAAUGCAUACAGGAAUGCAAUCAAAGGAUUUGUCGUAACCUGAAAAGGGUUGCAAGGCUUUUUAUCACUUUUACAGAAAGUAGAAAACAUAUUCUUAUAUUAUAUUGAAGGGACAAAGAUGUAAAAGAUGUAAAAUACUUCUCUUAAUCCAAAGUCAAAAGCAGGAGGCCCCUUUUCUGUGGAGAGGGGGAGGAAAGACACCACAAAAGUUGGAUCUUUAAACUGCAAAAGAAGUAUUUAUUGCGUGGCCAUAGCAAUGUGACAAAUACAGUAGAGUCUCACUUAUCCAACACUCGCUUAUCCAACGUUCUGGAUUAUCCAACACAUUUUUGUAGUCAAUGUUUUCAAUACAUCGUGAUAUUCUGGAGCUAAAUUCGUAAAUAUAGUAAUUACUACAUAGCAUUACUGCGUAUUGAACUACUUUUUCUGUCAAAUUUGUUGUAUAACAUGUUUUGGUACUUAAUUUGUAAAAUCAUAACCUAAUUUGAUGUUUAAUAGGCUUUUCCUUAAUCCCUCCUUAUUAUCCAACAUAUUCGCUUAUCCAACAUUCUGCCGGCCCAUUUAUGUUGGAUAAAUGAGACUCAACUGUACAUGCAAUCAAAGGAUUUGUCCAAUUUUCAAAAUGGUUGCAAGGGUUUUUAUCACUUCCACAGAAAAUAGUAAGCAUAUCCUUAUUGGCUUACAAAGAUCAUUUACCCCAUUCGUCUAAUGUUGGCUACAUCACAAGCAUCUUAACCAUCAUGCAAUUCCAUUGGUUUUCUAUGCUGUAACCAGAGGCGGUUCUACCACCAGGCAAACUAGGCAUUUGCCUGUGGCGCCAUGUUGUUGGGGGCGCCAUUGAGGCAGAAAGGAGCCUAGGAAGACAAUAUGGUUUUUGGGAAGCCUGUGAAGUAAGUAUUGCUUAUCUUACCUAACUUGGGUGAAUUAAUUUAAUGCAUACACACUUAUUUAAUUGAAUGUUCAUUUUCUACUGUUACUUUUUAAUUUAUGGAGUUUGUUUUAAUUCAUAGGUGAGCCACUUUUGGCCCCAUUUAUGAGAAAGGAGGGAAAUUGUUAAAUAAGUCCUAGUACCUUCAUUUAUAAGUAGAUUUUCCUGAGGAUUAAAGUUUUAUCACCUGUAUGCAACUAUUUAGUUUAGCAGAGAUAUAGAAUCUACACUUUCUAAUGGAUGUGCAAGGCAGAGAUUGCAGUAAUGAAUGUCCAGCACUUCUGGAAAAUGUCAGUUUGAGAAAAUCUGACAUACAUUGUCAGAAAUAGUUGUACUGAUUCAGACUACUGGGUCAUCCAACUCAGCCUCCUCCUCUGUAGGAAGUCUAGGAAGCAAGGCAAGUGGGGCUUCCUCCUUGGGGGCAUCCUUGGUUGGGGGGUGUCAGUUGGCCCUGAUUGCUUCCUGUCUGGAUUUCCCAUUUUCAGAGUGUUGUUUAUUUAGGCUUUUCCUCAAUCCCUCCUUAUUAUCAAACAUUUUUGCUUAUCCAACACUUUUAUUUUUCAGUGAUUGGGUUUUUUUUGGGGGGGGGGGAAUUUCUGUUUGCCUACACUUGAAAAUUACCUUGGACCGGCUCUGGCUGUAACAACAUGUGACUCUUUAGACAAUGGUGCUUUCAUGUUAUUGACCCUGAUCUCAGUACCUCCUUAUCUAUUCCUUGUUGCAAAUAUAGGUUCAAAACCGUAUGAGAAUCCUAGGGAGUAGUGGGUAAGGUUCUGACUUGAUGUAUUGUUAUUAUUUGAAAGUAACUUAUUUUCUCUGGAACAACUCUUUCCUCAAACAUCAGCAUUUUCUCUCAAGCACAGGCCUUUCUCAAAUAAUAGGCCUCUUGCAACUUAGGUCAAUCAAAACAUAUGGGACUUGUAGUCAUUACAAGUAUCUUUGAAAAUUCUGUUUUUAAACCCACGUCCCACUCAAUAUGACAGACUCAGGGCCCUUCCACACAGCCAUAUAACCCAGAAUUUCAAGGCAGAAAAUCCUGCAAUAUCUGCUCUGAAAUGGGUUAUCUGAGUCCACUAACUGCCAAUAUUCCAGUUCAAAGCAGAUAAUGUGGGAUUUUAUUCAGCUGUGUGAAGGGGCUUCAUUUAAAUCUAGUUCAAUGUGGUUUAAUCCACAUUAUAUGAGUUUACACUGACUUAUAAUGCAGUUCAAUCUGAGGCCUUUCCACACAGCCAUAUAACCCAGAAUAUCAGGACAGAAAAUCCCACAAUAUCUGCUUUGAAGUGGGUUAUCUGAGUCCACACUGCCAUAUAUUCCAGUUUAAAGCAGAUGUGGGGUUUUCUUCAGCUGUAUGGAAGGGGUCCUGGAUUAUAUGGCAGUGCAGAUGGCACCUGACUCAGGCUAUGUUGUGGAGAAACCCGGAAACGCCAUUUCUGGCCUUGGGUCUGGCAUUUGGGGAAUGUUGGACCAUGGCCGACCUUCUGCCUCAUGGCCAACUCUACUCUUGAGGCAAACCCCAAUGCUAUUUCUCCUUCUAUUUCCAGUAAUGGCUUCUAUUCUCACAACCAAGUCCUCCAUUAUUUACCCUUGUUUUUUUCCACGCUUCUUGCGGAGAUUUUUAUGUUAUUUAGGAGUUCCCAAAUUUUUGCAAUGUAGCAGUGGGUUAAACUGCUGAGCUACUGAAUUUGCUGACCAAAAGGUCAGCUGUUCGAAUCUAGGGAGCGGAGUGAGCUUCCGCUGUCAAUUCAAGCUUCUGCCAACCUAGCAGUUUGAAAACAUGCAAAUGUGAGUAGAUUAAUAGGUACUGCUCUGGCAGGAAGGUAACGGCGCUCCUUGUAGUCUUGCCGGCCACGUGACCUUGGAGGUGUCUAUGGACAACACUGGCUCUUCGGCUUAGAAAUGAAGAUGAGCACCAACCCCCAGAGUCAGACACGACUAGACUUCAUGUCAGGGGAAAACCUUUGCCUUUACCUUAGCCUUUAAAAAACAUUAAAAACCAAUGAAAUUGGAGCCCAAGUUUUGAAUAAAGGGGUCAAAUGUCCUCUGUGGGAUACCACUGAAUCUUUGAUUUCUGGUCAUGGCUUCCAGUGUGUAUUCUGAGAACCAAGUGUGCCAUGAUCCAGCCUUGUUCUUUUCUGUGGCACCUUCUAUACCACUGAAUAAAAUCCCAUAUUAUCUGCUUUGAACUGGGAUAUAUGGCAGUAUAGACCCAGAUAGUCCAGUUCAAAGUAGAUAUUGUGGGAUUUUUUGCCUUGAUAAUUCUGGGUUAUAUGGCUGUGUGGAAGGGCCCUGUGAAGCAGCUGCCUCUGACCCCAUCUAUACUGUCAUACAAAAUCCAGAUUAUUUGCUUUGUAACUGCAUUAGUAAGCAAUGUGCCUGUAGGCUGAAUACAUAAAGUUUGUAAGUAAACCAGUGUGGAGAUGUGGCAGGGAGGAAUCUUUUUAUCCCACCGCUGCCACUAAAUUGUGGAGAUGUGGCAGGGAGGAAUCUUUUUAUCCCACCGCUGCCACCAAAUUGUGGAGAUCUCAGGCAGAGAGGAUUUUUUUUUCUUUAUUCUCUUAUUCUUUCUUAUUCUUAUUCACAUUAGAUGGUAGCAUUACUUAGUUUUGAAUAUAGGUGACUGAGACUUGGAUAUUGAAGAACAAAAACAAGUUUAUUUCAGGCACAGAGCUUAGUAGUUACAGUAACUUCUUUAAAGGCACUUAGAUAAUGGUUGCAACGUUAAUAACUGAUCACUUUGGAUCUAACUGGGAUUGCUUUCCCUUCCUACUCAGACUCUACAAAUAAACCUAAACAAGUCACCUAACUUGCUUAAUUUAACACCACUAGAGAUCUGAGUUCCCCUGGCUUCCCUAACCUGGAACCAGUGUCUUCCCUGUGACUAAAAUCACAGACUGUUUUUUAAAAUAUUCCCUCCUUUUCCUUCAAACUGCAGUUGGCUCCGCCCUCGUUACUAUGGCAACCUGCCUCAGAAUGCUGAGCUGGUUACCAUCCCCCACGCACUGGUGACUAAUACCCUUUUAAACAUAGUUAAAUCUGACUUUUAAAACGAAAUUAAACAUGACAUCUAUAAAUCAAAAUAAAAACACACUUCUUUACAACCAGCUAUGUUAUUUUUAAUGAAGACUACUUUAUUUUGUCUCUUAGGAGCAUGAUUUAAACCAAGAUGUUUUAAAGGAGAGUAGGUGUUUUUGGGGCAACUGAAAUAACACUUCUGAACUCUGCUAUAUUUUUGUGCAUUGACAUAUCUCUGUUCCUAACAGAUCAGAGACAAUAGGUUCAGUCUAAUAGCUGAGGAAUUGCAUAAAUACUAGAUAUUUACCACCAAAAAGAAGAUUCUCUCAAAUGAGUUUUUAGCUCUUUUCUGAAAGUCAUGCUUUUCAAAAGGUUAUGUGUCCAAAAGGUUAUGAAUGCCUUUUCCCUAAUCUGCUUCAAUAAAGAAAAAUACUUAUAAAAAAUAAUAAAUGGCAUUAAUUGCAAACUGACCUCACAGACACCUUUUCCUCCUUUGCCAGCUGGUCUAUAAAAUGAAAGGUGCCUGUCAGAAUUGAUAAUGGUUCUUUAGUAAGAUUCUUAAAUUCAUGGAGGCUGACUUUUCUGAAAUUAAUAAUAUUACGAACCAACAUCUUACUAAGGGUGCUUCUACACUGUAGAGCUAAUGCAGUUUGGAAUCACUUUAUUUAUUUCAUUUUAUUUAUUUCAAUUAUUUAUACCCCGCCCUUCUCACCCGAGGGGACUCAGGGCGGCUUAACUUUAACUUUUGUGGCCCAGUACUUUAGAAUCCUGAGAACUGUGGUUUGGUUAGGCACCAGCAGGCUAAAGACCUUGUAAAACUAAACUCUUGGAACUACAUUAAUCCUACAGUGUAGUAGAGCAGGCAGGCAUGGUCAAACUUUGGCCCUCCAGGUGUUUUGGACUUCAACUCCCAGAAAUCCUAGCCAGCUUAACAUUUGUUAGAGAUUGUGGGAGUUCAAAUCCAAAACACCUGGAGGGCCAAAGUUUGCCCAUGCCUGCUGUAGAGCCAGACAUAGCCAGCUGCUGGCUUAAUAGGUGAUCCCUCUUUCCUUCAGCUUUCCUCUAACUCUUCUCCAAUAAAGUAAAUUAACACUAUUUAAAGAAUCCUAAUUUCUGUCCACAGGGUUUCAGUCGAGGAUGCCACCUUGAUCUGCUGAGCAAAGUUCUUUUGAAUACUCUCAUGUGUGAAAUUCAAGUCAAGAAAUGCUUUAUUUGUGUCAGUUUGAAGUGAAGAAAAUGGAAAAGAGGGUUCCAUAUGCACAAGGACCAAAUACCUGCUAGAGACUUCAAGAAAAUUGGAUUUUUGGGGUGAAGAAUACAUUUGUAUAUUCAAAAAUAUCUCAAUAAUAACAUAGGAAUGAGAUUUAGGGAGCUCCCUUUCAGAGAGCUCUUCCCAUUUUAGAUCCCAAAGGAGAACAAUUUCUGCCUGUCUGAGGUGCUAACAUGAAGGAGCUUUCAAGAAGUUAAAGGAAAGGCUGGGCUUCCUGGAAGGACCCAGAUCCCCUUGACAUCCUGCAGGGGUGUAGCAGGGCCAAGGUAAGCACGUGGCAGCCCUGCCUGCUGGGCCCCUCCCAAGAGAAGCUCCAGGCUUGUUUUCCUUCCAAAAGGUUCCAUUUCUGCCCAGGUUCCAGGGACAGAGGUAUUUACCUGGUUGUCAAGGAGACCAGGGGAUUCCGAUGAACCAGAGGUUGCAGUGACCAUUGGCACCUGCCAUUACUUUCCUGGACUCCAUCAUGGGCAGAGGAACUUCGUGGCAGAUCCAGCCGGGGGUCUCCCCUACUGCUGACCUCUGUCCCAGGCCUCUCAGGAUGUCCCUGGCCUUAACGUUCAGGAUAAGCUCCUAGACCCAUCCUCUCCUUUUGGGAAUCCUGUGGCCAGCCCUGCUGUGGUGCUGAGUCUCCCCUUCUUUGGCACUCCUUUUGACAGAGGGCCAGGAAGAGGUACCCAUGUCUCCACCACAUGGGCACUGAAGAUUGAGAGGAGGUUCUGUGGCUCUUCAAAGGUAAACCCCCCCCCCCAAAGCCUUUCCAACAGGAGCCAUGGCUCUGUCCUUGACCAAGGGAAGCCCUGGCACCAAGAGAAGACGAGAGCCCAGUGAAGAAAAGUGAUACUGCCUUAGGGAUUCCCUGAAGUUGGAGGGGGGAUAGGCUUUUGGGUGGGUAUGCAUAAAUUAAGUGGCAGUUAUGCUUUAUGAGAUAGUGAAGGAAUUUGCAUGUGUAUAGUGAUUGGUUGGUGGAGGAAGAGGUCCUUGGGGGGAUUCAUAUGCAAAUUGUGGCAGGUAGGGAUUGUGAGGUAGAAAAGGAGUUUGCAUAUCGGUGGUGAUUGGCUGGUGGAAGAGGAAGAAGGACAGACCCUUGGACGGGAGGGAUGUACCAUAUUUCAACAGGUAAAUAUGGUCCAGCAAAUGUCUGUGGAUUACAGUCCUGAGAGGGAGGGCGGGAGGGAGGGAAAUUGUAGCAGAGGGCAGAGCCCUUUGGUGGAGCUUUCUGUGUUCAGCUUCUGGCGAGACAGAUGGAGGCGCCCUUCCCCUUGGAUGUCAGAAACCUGAGGACACACAGAGAGAGAGCCUGAGCUCUGAGAGUUCAGAGAGAAACCUCCUUUCUAUCUUUUUUUUUUGGGUGGGGGUGGGGGUGGAGGAAAGCUGUCAGUCUGGAUGUUUGAGGCUCACAACAAGCGAUGGCACUGGAGCCUUCUCCCUAAAGUUGGGACAGGUGCCCUGAGGCUGGGAUUUUGGGGUCCCAGGAUGUUGCCUUAUUCUGAGGGGCUGGCAAAGGUCCAGGGGCUUGGGUUGGCCUGGACAGGAGGGUAGGUGGCUGCUAAGGAUGCUCAGAUGAGUUCCUGUUCUGUCCUUUGCCUUUCUAGCAACUUCAUCUCCAGGAAAGUCCCAUCUCCUUAAAGGAAUGAACCGUCCAAAGAUUUGGUUAGUAAAAUACGGGAUGGAAUAGUGGGAUCUUGCCUCUCUCCUUACUUUGGGAGAAAGAUUUCACUCUGGGCCCUAAGACCUCUUGAGUUCCCAUGUGGAAAUCCUGCUGCCCUCAGGUGUUAUUGGGCCAUAAGUCCGAGCAGCCCCAGGCAACAUGGUCAUUUAUAUCUUCUUUUCCCUCAACAAGACGCCAAGGAAGUUGGGAUCCCUUCAGAGUCCAGCAGAAUGUGGGGGCAGCCCAGACCCUCAAUUCAGAGAGGUACCUCCUUUUCAAGUUUAGGGGUGCAUGGCAAGCAUGUGGCCCUGUAGAUUUGAGUCCCAUAUAUGAGAGAAAAGCAGGAUAAAAUUAAGUAAAUAAAUAAAUAAUAAUAGGUUUGGGGCACAGAGCAAACAACCACAGAGGACCCCCCCCCACACACACACCUAAAUUGAGGCCAUGGGAGUCUCAGCCUGUAGCCUUAUUCCACUCAAGCUUGCAAACUUAUUGAAAGGAUCGGGAUCACCUUAGAGGCUCCACAUGAAUGAGAGGUGAGGGCUUCUUCUGAUCUUUAUCUUGUUGUCUCUUCUAGCAGUGCCCACAGGCCCUCUCAGAAGACAUCAAAAGUAAGGAAAGAAAGUGAGAGGUAAAGAAGGGACGUGAGAAGUAAAGAGGACAUCAAAGAUAAGGAAGGGAAGGGAGGAUAAAAUAAUCUUUCCUCUGCCACCUCAAGACUUUGUGCUAUCUGAGCCAAAUGGCAAAGGGGCACCCUUCCACCCCAUUUCCUUUGUCUCAUCCUGCCUCCCAUUUAACCUCCUUUCUCCCAGUCCAGUUUUCCUCCUACUGGUUGCCUUCCCAUUCCUCUUUUGGCUGUGUGCCUCAUGAAGGAAGAGGGGAGCUCCUAUUUCAUCCUUCUCUCAAUUGUCUUGCAGAACCCCAAAGGGAUGAUGCUGGAUGACAUUGUAGCCCGCAAGAUGAAUUGUGGGACCCCCUCUCCAGUUCCGGCUGACAAUAUCCUCUCAGUUGGGAGGGAUCCCCAUUCCCGUCCCUUUCCCAAAGCCAGAGGUUUGACCUAGGCCAUUCUGACCUAGAUGGACCCUUGGCGUUGGUUCCAGCCCUGCCCUCGGAUGGUGGCCAAGUCUCACUUCUCUUCCAGCUCCCUUGGCCAAAAGCAAGAUGAAGGAGAACUGGUCCUGAACCCUUAGAGAAGGUCCCCCUUGGACCCAAAGCAGUUAAGGCCCAGUCCUCCCCACUUCCCCCGGUAAGGCCUGGGACCACCCCUGAUGAAGUAUGGCCAGAACGUCUUCCUCAGAAUGUGAAGAGGUGCCUCCUGCAGACACCUUGGUGCCAGGUUCAUCUCAGAGACUUAUCUUCUUAAGGUAGGCUGCUCUAGUAAGCUUUCAGCUUUUCAGCUCCUGUUCAUCAUCUGGUGGUCUCGUUGGUCACAAGGUAAGUAUGCUGGGACCCCAUUGACAAUCUCCGCAAGUCUGCUGCCUGGCCAGUGUGCUAUGACCAAUGUGUUAUGGAAACCGUGUUUUUGUAAAUAGUGCAACCAUAUUAUUUUGCUACAAAGAAAAGCCUCAAAAGGAAGAUAUAACAUUGGUCUGUGGUUUUUUUGUUCUUUUUAUCACUUUAGGUUACUGGUGCUGGGUUAUGCUGCUGCUAAUAAAUUACUCUGCUAUAUGUUUAUGGGGAGGGUCUUUGGUUAAUAAGCCUACUCUCCCAUCAAGGGUUAUAGGCCCAGUAUAGCCCAAUAUAGCCCAGUAGAAACCAUAUUGAGGCUGAAGAAAUAUGGCAAUAGCAUUUCAAGCAAGUGGACUGCCUUUUGAAAGGUUGAAUUCUAGCAAUUAUGUCACAUGGUCAUUUAUGAAUUUUGUUUCGUUAGGAGACAAUUUGUGGGAAGUAGUGGAGAAUCUUCCAGAUAAAGAAGGAGAAGAUGAUGACAAAUUGAGGGCAGAUCAUUGUGCCAAGGCUUCUAUCAUAUUGACAUUAGAGGACAAUCAACUGCCAUAUGUAAGGAAUGCCCAAACAGCCACUGAAUGUUGGCAAAGCCUCAAGGAAAUUUACCUGAACCAUUCAGCAGGCAUGAAAGUUUUGUUAACUAGGUAGUUGCACAAUUUAAAACUUCAGAAAGGGGAAGGUAUUAGGAACCACCCACAGCAAAUAAGGAUUCUAUUAAUGGACUUGGAAGAAAGAGGCAUGUGUUACAUUGAAGAAAACAAAGCUUAUAUUUUGAUUUUUUCAUUAUCCAAAGAUUGGUACAAUUUCUGUUAUGCUAUACAAAAUUUGGACGGUAAGUACUUAAACCUUUACUGUGUGUCUUCAAGGCUUUUAGAGCAGGAAAAGAGACUAAACGUUGAGUCAUCCUUCAAAGAAGACCAUCAAGUUGCUACUACAGGAAAGGCUAAUGAAGCAGUGAGUAGUCAAGAAUAUACAAAGGUAUUCAAUGUAAGACAGGGUUGUGGGUGUGGAGCUGUAAAUCGUCUAAUUAAGGAUUGCCCCAGGAAUAAAAGAAGAACAGAAGAAGAGGAGAUCACCGAGGCUACCAAAGGCAACAACAAAGAAGAAACCACUGAGGCCUACUAACACUACAGGCACAUCUGCUUAUAUUGGACUAUAGUUUUUGCUGAGUCAUUGUACCCAUUUAACCCUUUCAGUGUUAAAUGGGUGCAAUAUCUCACAUUUCAGUGACUCACAUUUUUGUAAUUAAAAAUACCUAGUUAAUUUUUAAUAUUUCUGACACCCCUUCUAUUUUUAAUUACAAAAAAUUGCCAAUUUAAAUCAUACAUACAUACAUAAACACCAUUUGCUGUUAAAUUCACAGGAUUUUACAUUUCACUUUUUCUUUUCAAUGUUAUCCCUUGAAUCAUAAAUCUUUCUGGUAGUACAUCUUUAUUAGCCCUUUCUGUUCUAGGGAUUUCAAUAUUUCCCCGACUUCCACCAAUUCUUCAUCUUUGUUUUUAUUAGUUUCAUUCUCUGUUUUUACACUAAGGCUACUUGUACACAGAAUUUCUAGUUUCUCUUCUUUUGUUUGUACUAUUUCUGUCUUUGUAUCAAUUUCUUCAUUUCUAGAUCUUUCUCUUGUAGUUUCCAUUUCCUGAGGCUCAAUACUUAUAAAUGGUAGAAAUACUUCAUUGUUUUUAUGUAUAUUUUUCCAAUUCUGGUUACCAUCAAAUUCUUCUUUAUUGGUAAUAGCAAUUGUGCCUUGUCCUAACCAAAAACGGUACCCUUUUUUCUUUUGACUAUACCCAACAAAACAAAGUCUUCUCCAUGUUUGCUCACCAGGAAUUAAUACAUUGGUAUAACUUCCAAAAAAUUUCACAUAUUUAAGAUUUGGUUUCUGGCCAAACAUUUUAUAGAAUGGAGUUUCAUUUACACUGGAGGUCCAUACUCCGUUAAUAAUAUGGUUUGCAGUUACUACCAGGGCCGUAGCCAGAAAAAAAUUUCGGGAGGGGUUUUGAAAAUUUCGGGGGGGGGGGUUUGAACCCCUAGUACAUACCCCUCCCCGCUACAAACCUGUCAAUAUCUGCUUGAGAUAGUGCCUGGAGGGACUCUUAAUGUUUUGCAUCUCAUAGACUUAGCAUGGGGAUUUGGUUAACCAGUUAAAAUUCAUGAGUAAACGAGAUUUUUUUUAUAACUUGAAAAAUUUGGGGGGGGGGGGUUGAACCUCCCCCCCCCCCUGCUACAGGCCUGGUUACUACUGCCUCUCCCCACAAAUGAAAUGGUGAUUUAGAGUCUUCCAGCAUACAGUCUCUCAUUCUUUUUAACACUCCAAUUCUCCUUUCUGCUACAUCAUUUUCUUCAGGACUAUAUUGGUUAGCUUUUUGGUGCCAAAUUCCUUUUACUUUUAACCACUUUUGUAAUGCAUAACUCAGUGGACAUCCACACUUAGGUCACAUCUCAAUCACUUUCACCUGCUACCCCUGUCCAUUAUGUACCUUCUUUCUUUCCUGAUAGGCAAAAUAACACCUGCACUGUCUUUGCCAGCUGGUGUGGACUCCCUUUUCUGCGGAGGCCAUGCGAACAGUGGACUACGUGGCCCAGAAACACCUGUAUAUGGCCACAGACCAUUUCCUGGAGUCCAAUGGGAGGUGGAGGAGAAUCCUUGGUCAGCUCAGGAGGACACAGAACAGGGCAGCCAUACUUUCAAUUUGGCCAUGUAAAGGACAUCCCCACCUGCAUCUUGUUUUUGGAAAGUUGGGGAUGGAAGGUGGGACCCUUCCUCUUUCCUGGCUACCAACAGGAGCCCUCCUUGCAUUGAGGCCCAAACCUCCUCCUUUCCACGGGCAAAAGUGACAAGAGCUAUCAAAGGAAUUAUCAGCAACACCAGGGAUGUCAAGAACCUGGAGAUGUGUUUCCUGGACAUUCUGCUCACCUUGGUGACCAAUUUUGUCAACAUCACAAGGCCUGGUUUGGAGGCACUCAACAGGAACUGGAGCAGCAGUUACGUUACUCCAGAGAAAGGAGAGGGUGGGGAGGAAUUUUCAGAUGCUGAUGCUGGCCAGCUUCAGACUCCACAGAACACAAAUGAAUGCUGCUUCUGAUCUGGUUUCAACAUCCUAGCCUGGUCGUCCAAUAUCUGAGCAGACAGGGCCUUCUCCAGCUCUGCAAGACCUAUAGGGAGAUAAGUCAGACAGACACACUCCAGGCACCACAGAGGCCUGGCAGAGCCUGGAUCCAAUAGGCCUAGCUCUUGAGAUUAUAUGAAGAACAUACGAUGCAGAAGAGGAAGACAAUAGAAAGUUCCUUCCCCCUCUAACCCCAAAUAAGGCCUGUGAUCAAAUGUUCUCUGCAAAGGAACUCUUAGACAUGGCUGCGCUUUGACCUGGGCCACCUUUCCCUUUGCAGAUGAUGGAUGUCAAAGAGCUCCUGGAUGAGAUUCUCAGGGAGCUCUGAUCUCCCAACACUGUGAUCUUUAUAAACCUCUAAAGCAGGUAUCUCUACUUUCCUAACACUUUGUCUCCCGAUGUGCAUGGACCUAGAUCUUCUUUAGAUUUUCCUUGGGCCCCAUCUCUCCCCUCCUCACUUGGACUUCCCUGGAAGUGCCUUGGUUGGUGCGGGGGGAGGGCAACUGGAGUAGGGCAGAGCAACCUCACUGACUUUGUGAUUUUUGCGCAUCAAGGGACACUGACAAGACGUUGACCAGCACUUGGAAGAACAAGGAGGGAGAAGAGAGGAAUUAAAUAAGAGUGUUUGGUUUUAUUGUUCAAUUGUGAAAUUUUAAAUUUCAUGUGCAUUGGUACUUAACUGUAUAGAGUUGUAUAGUUUUUGUUAUAUAGGAGAUAAUCACAGUACACUGUUAAAAGUGCUGCUAUUCCCCUUUAGCGUCUGUGUCUGCCUCCUGUGUAAGAGGUUUGUAUUUUAGCGAGGCCUAGGACCUCUCCUUAAACUGCAAAUCAUAUGAUUGCAUAAUCAUAACAGUUAAAGUGGAAUAGCCAUGCUUCAACAGUGUAAUGUGAUAAUCUCAUUUUCUGUUUAUUGUAACUUAACAUUAUAUAAUUAUAUAGUCUCUGUUGUAUAAGGUUUGUAACCAGGGUUGCCAUGUUAGGCAAUCCUGACAUAAAUUUUAAUUUCAUGUUGCAUUCUAUAGUUUGUUUUGUAUAGUGCCUGUAACCAAGAGUGCCAUUACCUAUUCUGUUGGUCUUGAAACCUUUGUUUAGAAUAAAUGUAUCCCUUUCUUUUUAAUUUGGCGCUUUCUCAGGAUUCCUUUGGAGGGAGGGAGAUGGAGACCAAAACUGCAAAAAAGAAGCGAGAGAAGACAAUAACAGCCAUGUAGUUGGUGCAAAUGGGUCAUGUUAAGAUCAUGUUGUGACCGUGAUGGCACAGUAAAUAAAAUCUUUAUAUUUGUUUAAUAAGAA